GAUGAACGAUAGCGGCAGGCUUAAUACAUGCAAGUCGAGGGGCAGCAUGACUGUAGCAAUACAGUUGAUGGCGACCGGCAAACGGGUGCGGAACACGUACAGAACCUUCCUCCGAGCGGGGAAUAGCCCAGAGAAAUUUGGAUUAAUACCCCAUAGUAUAACGAAGAGGCAUCUAUUUGUUAUUAAAGAUUUAUCACUUGAAGAUGGCUGUGCGGCUGAAUAGGUAGUUGGCGGGGUAAAGGCCCACCAAGCCUGCGAUCAGUAACUGGUGUGAGUGCAGGGCCAGUCACGCGCGCGAUCAGACACGGGUCCCACUACUACGGGAGGCAGCGGUAAGGAAUAUCUGUAAAGGGACGAAAGUCUGACCGUGCCAGGCCGCGUGGAGGAUGAAGGUCCUCGGGAUUGUAAAUUUCUUUUAUAUGGGACGAAAAAAGGCCUUUCCAGGUCGUCUGACGGUACCAUAUGAAUAAGCACCGGCUAACUCCGUGCCAGCCGCCGCAGUAACAC
rnacentral:rRNA from 1 species